UUCAACAUGGCCUUUGGACGAAUCGUGCUUCGAGUAUCGUUCUAUCAAUCGACAUGCUUGGCGAAAGGCAUGCUGAGAGAUUAUAAUAAGUUAGUUUACGUGAGAGAUGUCGAGAUAAAAAUUCCCAAAACGGUUUUCGAAUGAAGACGGAGAUACCGAAAGGUGAGAUAAGACUUGUUAUGAAAUCGAAAAAUGGAACAUUUACUUUAAAAAAGGCAAGCAACAGCUCGAUUUAGUCAGUCGCAACAGUAGAGCUCUUCCGAUAAAGACUAUUUAUUAACUUGACCGAGGAACGACAAAAAUUCAGUUUUCAUUUUCAUUCAUGUAUAUAGAGUAUAGCUUCAUAAGUUUCCAAUAACUGCAGAUCGUCGUGUGAUUAUAUGGUUAUUAGAUAAUUAUUCUGUGGUUUUAAGAAGUGUUAACGAGAGCGGGUAAUUGGACUGGUAACACAUUUGUCAGUGAAUGUGUAUUGUUUGUGCCGUAGAGGUCUAAGUUUAAAUGAUUUAAAUAUUUCACCAUUAUGAUAAAAACUGUUCAUUCCACCAUUAAACUAUUUGUAUAAUUGUCCUAAUCUUAAUGAUUUGUAAAUAGGCACUUCAACCUGGUGGUUGAGAACAAUAUAUAAUGCAUCUUUUAGGUUAAGAUUUGAUCUUCGGACCAGAAAUCGACUAGAAUGAAUCAACAAAAUCACAGUCUGUAUUUAAUUUAGCUUGAGGUGUUCACUGAACGCAUUAUAAUUACUUUGGAAGUUCAUUAAAUUUGGAUGAACCGAUAUAAUAGAUUGCUUCAUUUAAGUUUAAGCUUCAUCUCGAUCGAGUUAGGCAUUCUAACAACCUAAUAUUAUCGACAUCACGUCACUUACGUAACCUCAUAUAAAAUAAUGUUAUGCGGCAACUUCACGAUUGUUUAUCGAUUCGUAACGCGGUAGCAGAAAACGUGUGUUUUUCUCAAAAUAAUAAAAUCGGAUUUUGGUAGAUAUAAUUUUACACAAAGAAAAGACAAAGACUUCUUGAAUUUACAUUUCAAGUAAUCUGUUUAUACUAUAAAUAGGAUAUUCGGACGAGUUUGUACUGCGUCUAUAAAGAAAUAUAAUUGAAAAUCGCAAUAUUUUACUAUUGAUCGUUUUAGCUACAGUUUCAAUAAAAUGUAUUUUUCCAAAGGUUAGUUACACAUAUUUAUCGGAGAAAAACUUUUUAUAAAUAUUCAAUCAAAUCAAUUAAUCUUUUAUAACAUUAACAAAAAACAUAUUUCUAACCAGCUAAGCUGAAUGCUAAACUGCAACUUAAUCUCUCACGAUACACGUACGCAAUAUUUCACCAAAUGUUGCUGCGGUGGUGGAACUUAAACUUAAAUUUGGAUUUAAUAGUUUUGAAUAAUCAGAUACCAGACUUCAGUGUAAAUAGCAUAAGCUGCUGGUACAGCGGUAAGUCAUUGGACCUUCGUGUCAUUGUAUUUAGGAAUUACUCUCAUUACAAGUAUACGUUAUCUGUUAAACAGCAUUAAUUUACUAAUUCUUUUAAAAGAAAUUGUGAGAUAUUGAAAAUGAAAAACUAUAUAAAAUUUCUGAGGAAAUCUGGAGCGUUUUUAUUCGUUUUAAUGAUUCUGCUAAACCAAGUGACCGAGAAAGAAGCUAUACGUUCAAACGGAUUGAUUCAAAGAUGUGGAACAGAUGCACGUGAUUUUCUUCGAUGGUUUUGCAUAGAUUCAUCUUUCAAUUUCCCAUUUCCAUUUCAUCGUAUACACAUAAUUCUUCGUUAUCGUUCACCGUACAAGGAUGUGUUCCCAUUUCAACAUCAAGCGUCAAUUUGCUGUCGAUUUGGGUGCCCGGAAAAUGGAUAUGAAAAAAUGUGUGAAUAUCAUAAAAAAUUAAAAAGAUGCGAAAUUUCUCGUCAAUAUCACCAUCGAACAAAAUAUAGUAGAAGACGUCGACCAUGUCGACUAAAUGGUUCUCGAUUAUCCUAAUUCAAGAUACUCACAGAAAAAGGAGCUCUGUCAGAACUAUUUGUAUAAAACUUCAACAAAUGGCAUUAUUCUUUUUACUAGUUCCUCUUUUUUUUCGUGACCUCUCCAAAAAGGCGAAGGUGGAUUAGUACGAAUAUUUUUUGCCACUGGAAGAAAAAAUUGAUUGGGUGAUUUUUGUGUCUAUUUCCCCCUUCGAAAUUAACGAUUGAUUAAUUCACAAAAAGCAUAAGCAUUCGACAAGGUGGGAAAUUAAAGAAAUUGGAGUCGAAGAAAAUGUGGAAGAGUAGUAAUACAAUAGGCAUUAUUAUUAUUUAAGUUGCAGCAAACAUAAUAUCGACGAACUUUUUUAAUUAACGUGGACGUGAUAUGUGAAGUUAUUGAUCUUCACUAUGUAU